rnacentral:snRNA from 1 species
GUGCUCACUUCGGCAGCCCAUAUACUAAAAUUGGAACGAUACAGAGAUUAGCAUGGCCCCUGCACAAGGAUGACAUGCAAAUUCAUGAAGCAUUCCAUAUUUUU